UACGUAGGCAGCAAGCGUUGUUCGGAAUUACUGGGCGUAAAGCGCACGUAGGCGGCUUUUUAAGUCAGGGGUGAAAUCCCGGGGCUCAACCCCGGAACUGCCCCUUGAAACUGGGAGGCUAGAAUCUUGGAGAGGCGAGUGGAAUUCCGAGUGUAGAGGUGAAAUUCGUAGAUAUUCGGAAGAACACCAGUGGCGAAGGCGACUUACUGGACACAUAUUGACGCUGAGGUGCGAAAGCGUGGGGAGCAAACAGG
rnacentral:rRNA from 1 species